UACGAAGGGGGCUAGCGUUGUUCGGAAUUACUGGGCGUAAAGCGCACGUAGGCGGAUACUUAAGUCAGGGGUGAAAUCCCGGGGCUCAACCCCGGAACUGCCUUUGAUACUGGGUAUCUUGAGUUCGGAAGAGGUGAGUGGAAUUGCGAGUGUAGAGGUGAAAUUCGUAGAUAUUCGCAGGAACACCAGUGGCGAAGGCGGCUCACUGGUCCGAUACUGACGCUGAGGUGCGAAAGCGUGGGGAGCAAACAGG
rnacentral:rRNA from 1 species